rnacentral:rRNA from 1 species
UUGUAAUUUGUAGAAGGUGCUUCGGGUGCGACGAUGAUCCAAGUCUUUUGGAACUGGGCGUCAUAGAGGGUGAGAAUCCCGUAUGUGAUCGUUCGUCAACCCCAUGUGAAGCCCUUUCGACGAGUCGAGUUGUUUGGGAAUGCAGCUCUAAAUGGGUGGUAAAUUUCAUCUAAAGCUAAAUAUCUGCCAGAGACCGAUAGCGCACAAGUAGAGUGAUCGAAAGAUGAAAAGAACUUUGAAAAGAGAGUUAAACAGUACGUGAAAUUAUUAAAAGAGAAGCGCUUGCAACCAGUCUCGAUUGCAGAGGUUCAGCCAUUCUUCGGAGCGGUGUACUACUCUGUUUACGGGCCAGCAUCGGUUUCGGCGGUCGGAUAAAGGCUUUGGGAACGUAGCUCCCCUCAGGGAGUGUUAUAGCCCAAGGCAUAAUGCGACCUGUUGAGACCGAGGACCGCGCUUUUGCUAGGAUGCUGGCGUAAUGGUUGCCAGCGACCCGUCUUGAAACACGGACCAAGGAGUCGACCAAUCGCGCGAGUGUUUGGGUGUUAAACCCAAGCGCGCAGUGAAAGCAAACGUAGGUGGGAGCCUCUGGCGCACCAUCGACCGAUCUUGAUGUCUUCGGAUGGAUUUGAGUAUGAGCACGGUCGGUCGGACCCGAAAGAUGGUGAACUAUGCGUGAAUAGAAUGAAGCCAGGGGAAACCCUGGUGGAAGUUCGCAGCGGUUCUGACGUGCAAAUCGAUCGUCAAAUUUGCGCAUAGGGGCGAAAGACGAAUCGAACCAUCUAGUAGCUGGUUCCUGUCGAAGUUUCCCUCAGGAUAGCAGUAACGAAAUCAGUCUCAUGAGAUAGAGCGAACGAUUAGAGGCCUUGGGGCAGAAACUCCCUUAACCUAUUCUCGAACUUCGAAUAUGUGAGAAGUCCUUGUUACUUAAUUGAA